CGAAAGCCUGACGGAGCAAUACCGCGUGAGGGAGGAAGGCUCUAGGGUUGUAAACCUCUUUUCUCAGGGAAGAAAAAAAUGACGGUACCUGAGGAAUAAGCAUCGGCUAAUUCCGUGCCAGCAGCCGCGGUAAUACGGAGGAUGCAAGCGUUAUCCGGAUUUAUUGGGCGUAAAGCGUCCGUAGGUGGUUGUUCAAGUCUGCUGUCAAAGCGUGGAGCUCAACUCCAUACCGGCAGUGGAAACUGGGCGACUAGAGUGCGAUAGGGGUAACGGGAAUUCCCAGUGUAGCGGUGAAAUGCGUAGAGAUUGGGAAGAACACCAGCGGCGAAAGCGCGUUACUGGGUCUGCACUGACACUGAGGGACGAAAGCUAGGGGAGCGAAAGGGAUUAGAUACCCCUGUAGUCCUAGCCGUAAACGAUGGAUACUAGGUGUGGUUCGUAUCGACCCGAGCCGUGCCGGAGCUAACGCGUUAAGUAUCCCGCCUGGGGAGUACGCACGCAAGUGUGAAACUCAAAGGAAUUGACGGGGGCCCGCACAAGCGGUGGAGUAUGUGGUUUAAUUCGAUGCAACGCGAAGAACCUUACCAAGGCUUGACAUGUCGCGAACCUUCUUGGAAGGGAGGGGUGCCUUCGGGAGCGCGAACACAGGUGGUGCAUGGCUGUCGUCAGCUCGUGUCGUGAGAUGUUGGGUUAAGUCCCGCAACGAGCGCAACCCACGUUUUUAGUUGCCAGCAUUCAGUUGGGCACUCUAGAGAGACUGCCGGUGACAAACCGGAGGAAGGUGUGGAUGACGUCAAGUCAGCAUGCCCCAUACGCCUUGGGCUACACACGUACUACAAUGCUACGGACAGAGGGACGCCAGCCCGCGAGGGUGCGCAAAUCUCGUAAACCGUGGCUCAGUUCAGAUUGCAGGCUGCAACUCGCCUGCAUGAAGGCGGAAUCGCUAGUAAUCGCCGGUCAGCAUACGGCGGUGAAUACGUUCCCGGGCCUUGUACACACCGCCCGUCACACCAUGGGAGUUGGUCAUGCCCGAAGUCGUUACUCCAACCAUUCGUGGAGGGGGACGCCGAAGGUGGGGCUGAUGACUGGGGUGAAGUCGUAACAAGGUAGCCGUACCGGAAGGUGUGGCUGGAUCACCUCCUUUUAGGGAGACCUUACCCCCAUUUCCUCAGACUUUAGGAUAAAUGCCUAGAGCAAGCAGAGGAGUGGUUGGUCAUCUCAAGGUCGGUGAGGGUUGGAUGUAAGGCUUUCAAACUUGUCUGGUUCGAUAUUAAAGCUUCAGGCUACAACAACAUAAAUAAGCGCGUACCUGCAAGAUAAUUUGUGUAAAAGCCUUUACUGAUUAUUUCUCUCAAUGCUAAAUGGAAUGUAUUCAGCAACAGUAUUAGUUGAACUAAGCUGCCUGCUGGGAGACAUUCCAGCAAGAACCAUGAAAACUGCAUAGUGAUAAGCAAUUAAGUCAGGUAGAAGUUCAUCUUUAGUCUGUCUUCGUCUUCAGGAUUGAAGCGACGAGAUGAAUCUUCAUAGACACCAAUGAAAGACAAGUUAGUGGUCAAGCUAACAAGGGCAGAUGGUGGAUACCUAGGCACACAGAGGCGAUGAAGGACGUGGCGACCGACGAUAUGCACCGAGGAGCUGGAAGCAGGCUUUGAUCCGGUGAUUUCCGAAUAGGGCAACCUUAAAUACUGCUCCCUGAAUCCAUAGGGGAGUCAGAGCCAACCCAGCGAAUUGAAACAUCUUAGUAGCUGGAGGAAGAGAAAGCAAACGCGAUUUCCGGAGUAGCGGCGAGCGAAAUGGAAACAGCCUAAACCAGGAUGCAUGCAUUCUGGGGUUGUGGGACAGCAAUGUGGAUCGUGAACGUUAGACGAAGCAGUGGGAAGCUGCACCAGAGGAGGUGAAAGUCCUGUAGUCGAAAACAGAAACGACCUAGCUGGAUCCCGAGUAGCAUGGGGCACGUGAAAUCCCGUGUGAAUCCGCGAGGACCACCUCGUAAGGCUAAAUACUCCUGUGUGACCGAUAGUGAACUAGUACCGCGAGGGAACGGUGAAAAGAACCCCGGGAGGGGAGUGAAAUAGAACAUGAAACCAUCUGCUUACAAGCAAUGGGAGGACGAUUCAACGUCUGACCGUGUGCCUGUUGAAGAAUGAGCCGGCGACUUAUAAGCACAGGUAGAUUAAGACGGGAAUGUCGAAGUCAGAGCGAAAGCGAGUCUGAAUAGGGCGCGAUAUCUGUGUUUAUAGACCCGAACCCGGGUGAUCUAACCAUGGGCAGGAUGAAGCUUGGGUAACACCAAGUGGAGGUCCGAACCGACCGAUGUUGAAAAAUCGGCGGAUGACCUGUGGUUAGGGGUGAAAUGCCAAUCGAACCCGGAGCUAGCUGGUUCUCCCCGAAAUGUGUUGAGGCGCAGCGGUAGAAGUUUAAGUCUGGGGGUAAAGCACUGAUUCGGUGCGGGCUGCGAGAGCGGUACCAAAUCGAGUCAAACUCUGAAUACCAGAUGUAGAUUCUGCCAGUGAGACGGUGGGGGAUAAGCUUCAUCGUCAAGAGGGAAACAGCCCAGACCACCAGCUAAGGUCCCCAAAUCACAUCUCAGUGAUAAAGGAGGUGGGAGUGCAGAGACAACCAGGAGGUUUGCCUAGAAGCAGCCAUCCUUGAAAGAGUGCGUAAUAGCUCACUGGUCAAGCGCUCCUGCGCCGAAAAUGAACGGGGCUAAGAUGUGUACCGAAGCUGUGGGAUAUAUCUAUCGAUGUAUCGGUAGGGGAGCGUUCUGUUGUAGUGAGAAGCAUCAGCGGCAAGCAGGUGUGGACGAAGCAGAAGUGAGAAUGUCGGCUUGAGUAGCGCAAACAUUGGUGAGAAUCCAAUGCCCUGAAAUCCCAAGGGUUCCUCCGGAAGGCUCGUCCGCGGAGGGUGAGUCAGGUCCUAAGGCGAGGUCAAACGACGUAGUCGAUGGAUAAUCGGUUAAGAUUCCGAUACUGAUUCUGGAUUGUGCAGAGGGACGGAGAAGGCUAACACAGCUCCAUGUUGGUUAGGAGUUCAAGUGUGCGAGGCGAUGAGAGACGGUGAAAACGUCUUGAGCGGAGCCAUGAGUACGAGGGUCUACGGACCCGAAGUGUGUGACGUCAAGCUUCCAAGAAAAGCUCUAACCACGUUAAUCCAGAAUUACCUGUACCCGAAACCGACACAGGUGGGAUGGUUGAGAAUACCCAAGGGCGCGAGAUAACUCUCUCUAAGGAACUCGGCAAAAUGGCCCCGUAACUUCGGGAGAAGGGGUGCCACCGAGAGGUGGUCGCAGUGAAGAGGCCCAAGCGACUGUUUACCAAAAACACAGGUCUCCGCGAAGUCGAAAGACGAAGUAUGGGGGCUGACGCCUGCCCAGUGCCGGAAGGUUAAGGAAGUCGGUCAGGGGGAAACCCUGAAGCUGGCGACUGAAGCCCCGGUGAACGGCGGCCGUAACUAUAACGGUCCUAAGGUAGCGAAAUUCCUUGUCGGGUAAGUUCCGACCCGCACGAAAGGCGUAACGAUUUGGGCGCUGUCUCGGAGAGAGGCUCGGCGAAAUAGGAGUGUCUGUGAAGAUACGGACUACCUGCACCUGGACAGAAAGACCCUAUGAAGCUUUACUGUAGCCUGGUAUUGGCUUCGGGCUUUGGCUGCGCAGAAUAGGUGGGAGACGUUGAUCUUGCUCUUGUGGGAGCAAGGGAGUCAUCGGUGAGAUACCACUCUGCUAAGGCUAGAAGUCUAACCUGCUGCCGUGAUCCGGCGCGGGAACAGUAUCAGGGGGGCAGUUUGACUGGGGCGGUCGCCUCCCAAAAGGUAACGGAGGCGCGCAAAGGUUCUCUCAGGCUGGUUGGAAAUCAGCCGUUGAGUGUAAAAGCACAAGAGAGCUUGACUGUGAGACGUACAUGUCGAACAGGGACGAAAGUCGGCUUUAGUGAUCCGACGGCGCUGCGUGGAAAGGCCGUCGCUAAACGGAUAAAAGUUACUCUAGGGAUAACAGGCUGAUCUCCGCCAAGAGUUCACAUCGACGCGGAGGUUUGGCACCUCGAUGUCGGCUCAUCGCAACCUGGGG
rnacentral:sRNA from 1 species